rnacentral:rRNA from 1 species
AUUGAACGCUGGCGGCAGGCCUAACACAUGCAAGUCGAACGAGUGGCGGACGGGUGAGUAGUGUCUGGGAAACUGCCUGAUGGAGGGGGAUAACUACUGGAAACGGUAGCUAAUACCGCAUACCAUCAGAUGUGCCCAGAUGGGAUUAGCUUGUGGGUGGGGUAACGGCUAACCAGGGCGACGAUCCCUAGCUGGUCUGAGGGGAUGACCAGCCACACUGGACUGGAGACACGGUCCAGACUCCUACGGGAGGCAGCAGUGGGGAAUAUUGCACAAUGGGCGCAAGCCUGAUGCAGCCAUGCCGCGUGUAUGAAGAAGGCCUUCGGGUUGUAAAGUACUUUCAGCGGGGAGGCGUUACCCGCAGAAGAAGCACCGGCUAACUCCGUGCCAGCAGCCGCGGUAAUUC